rnacentral:rRNA from 1 species
GAUGAACGCUGGUGGCGUGCCUAAUACAUGCAAGUCGAGCGAACAGACGAGGAGCUUGCUCCUCUGACGUUAGCGGCGGACGGGUGAGUAACACGUGGAUAACCUACCUAUAAGACUGGGAUAACUUCGGGAAACCGGAGCUAAUACCGGAUAAUAUAUUGAACCGCAUGGUUCAAUAGUGAAAGACGGUUUUGCUGUCACUUAUAGAUGGAUCCGCGCCGCAUUAGCUAGUUGGUAAGGUAACGGCUUACCAAGGCAACGAUGCGUAGCCGACCUGAGAGGGUGAUCGGCCACACUGGAACUGAGACACGGUCCAGACUCCUACGGGAGGCAGCAGUAGGGAAUCUUCCGCAAUGGGCGAAAGCUUGACGGAGCAACGCCGCGUGAGUGAUGAAGGUCUGCGGAUCGUAAAACUCUGUUAUUAGGGAAGAACAAAUGUGUAAGUAACUAUGCACGUCUUGACGGUACCUAAUCAGAAAGCCACGGCUAACUACGU